AUUUAAAUAAAUGGGUACGUAGUAUUAUAGAGCUAAUACAUGCAUCAAUGCCCACCUUUCCGGAGGUAGUGUUUAUUAUAUACAGAACCGAACCAAGCUCUGCUUGGCCUUUUGGUGAUUCAUAAUAACCGUACGAAGCGCAUGGUCAAUCCGGCGCUAGAUCAUUCAAGUUUCUGACCUAUCAGCUUCCGACGGUAGGGUAUUGGCCUACCGUGGCAUUGACGGGUAACGGAGAAUUAGGGUUCGAUUCCGGAGAGGGAGCCUGAGAAGCGGCUACCACAUCUAAGGAAGGCAGCAGGCGCGCAAAUUACCCAAUUCUGACACAGGGAGGUAGUGACAAGAAAUAACAAUGCAGGGCAUUAAUGUCCUUGCACUUUGGAAUGAGUUAAAUUUAAACCCCCUUUUACGAGUAAACAAAUUGGAAAGGCAAGUUCUGGG
rnacentral:rRNA from 1 species